UAUUCUCUGUUAUUAAGUUUUUUCUUUAUUUUUGGUCUGUAAUAAUCUGACUAUAAAGUUCUAGAUAUGGUUCCUUUACAUUUAUCAUGCUUCACUUUCCCUUACCUUUGAUCAGUGGGUUGAUUUUUUUAUUGAAUUUGGAGAAAUUUCAACCAUUGUAUCUUCAAAUACUUUUUUCUGCUUCUUUAGUACUUUUCCUCCUCCUAAGACUCCAAUUAUAUGUGUGUUAGACCACUUAUAUGGUGCCACCAGUCACGGAGGUGCAACCCCCAGUCUUUUUACUCUUUGUACUUCAGUUUGGUAAUACCUAUUUACCU
rnacentral:lncRNA from 1 species